rnacentral:rRNA from 1 species
CGGGGUGAGUAACACUGGGUAACCUGCCUAAAAGAAGGGGAUAACACUUGGAAACAGGUGCUAAUACCGUAUAUCUCUAAGGAUCGCAUGAUCCUUGGAUGAAAGAUGGUUCUGCUAUCGCUUUUAGAUGGACCCGCGGCGUAUUAACUAGUUGGUGGGGUAACGGCCUACCAAGGUGAUGAUACGUAGCCGAACUGAGAGGUUGAUCGGCCACAUUGGGACUGAGACACGGCCCAA